CGAAAGCCUGACGGAGCAAUACCGCGUGAGGGAGGAAGGCUCUUGGGUUGUAAACCUCUUUUCUCAGGGAAGAAGAUCUGACGGUACCUGAGGAAUCAGCAUCGGCUAACUCCGUGCCAGCAGCCGCGGUAAUACGGAGGAUGCAAGCGUUAUCCGGAAUGAUUGGGCGUAAAGCGUCCGUAGGUGGCAAUUCAAGUCUGCUGUCAAAGCUCAGGGCUUAACCCUGAAUCGGCGGUGGAAACUGAACAGCUAGAGUGCGGUAGGGGCAGAGGGAAUUCCCAGUGUAGCGGUGAAAUGCGUAGAGAUUGGGAAGAACACCGGUGGCGAAAGCGCUCUGCUAGACCGCAACUGACACUCAUGGACGAAAGCUAGGGGAGCGAAUGGGAUUAGAUACCCAGUAGUCCUAGCCGUAAACGAUGGAUACUAGGCGUUGCGAGAAUCGACCCUCGCAGUGUCGUAGCUAACGCGUUAAGUAUCCCGCCUGGGGAGUACGCUCGCAAGAGUGAAACUCAAAGGAAUUGACGGGGGCCCGCACAAGCGGUGGAGUAUGUGGUUUAAUUCGAUGCAACGCGAAGAACCUUACCAGGACUUGACAUGUCGCGAAUCCUGCCGAAAGGUGGGAGUGCCUUCGGGAGCGCGAACACAGGUGGUGCAUGGCUGUCGUCAGCUCGUGUCGUGAGAUGUUGGGUUAAGUCCCGCAACGAGCGCAACCCUCGUGCUUAGUUGCCAGCAUUAAGUUGGGCACUCUAAGCAGACUGCCGGUGACAAACCGGAGGAAGGUGGGGAUGACGUCAAGUCAUCAUGCCCCUUACGUCCUGGGCUACACACGUACUACAAUGCUACGGACAAAGAGAAGCAAAACAGCGAUGUCAAGCAAAUCUCGUAAACCGUGGCUCAUUUCAUAUCGCAGGCUGCAACUCGCCUGCGUGAAGGCGGAAUCGCUAGUAAUCCCAGAUCAGCAUGGCUGGGGUGAAUACGUUCCCGGGCCUUGUACACACCGCCCGUCACACCAUGGAAGCUGGCAGUGCCCGAAGUCGUUACCCUAACCCUUGUGGAGGGGGACGCCGAAGGUGUUGGCUGGUGACUGGGGGUGAAGUCGUAACAAGGUAGCCGUACCGGGAAGGUGUGGCUGGAUCACCUCCUUAACAGGGAGACCUACUUCAUCGAGACCCAACCGAUUGAUAUUAAGUCCGAUAGAAGUCAUCCCAGGUCGAGCGAGAUUGGAAACGCUGGCUUUCAAACUAUAUUCGGUUCGGUAAAAAGUUCGCGCAAUCCGUGCUUCCUAGUUCGGUUGUGCCCACUCAGCAACCCUGAUUGGGUUGUUAAAGUAGGAGAGUGCGGUAAUAAGCACUGCCCUUUGGCAAUAAACUUAAAGAUUUAAAUUAAUCGGAUAAACGAAUUCAGCAUCAGGCGAUAACAGCUUGAAUGCUGGACUAGUGUCCAGUCAGAACCUUGAAAACUGCAUAGCAAUUUGUCAAAUGUAAUGAGAUCGCAUUACUCUAUCAGUUCACUAACUGGUAGUUGAAUGCAUCAAUUGCAGGUAGACACCAAUGUUUAAAAAAAGUGGUCAAGCGAAUAAGGGCUUAUGGUGGAUACCUCGGCACACAGAGGCGAAGAAGGACGUGGCAACCGACGAAAUACUCCGGGGAGCUGGCAGCAAGCAUCGAGCCCGGAGAUGUCCGAAUGGGGCAACCCUAAAUACAGCCUGUUGAAUACAUAGACAGGCAUGAGCCAACCUGGCGAACUGAAACAUCUAGUAGCCAGAGGAAAAGAAAGAAAACUCGAUUCCCCAGUAGUGGUGAGCGAACGGGGAAGAGCCUAAACCAGUUGAUUUUUCAGCUGGGGUUGUGGGACAGCGACAUGGAAUACCGGGAAGCUAGACGAAGCAAGUGACAUACUGCACCAGAGAAGGUUAUAGUCCUGUAGUCGAAAGUGGAAGGAUACUAGCUGCAUCCCGAGUAGCACGGGCCACGUGGAAUCCCGUGUGAAUCUGCGAGGACCAUCUCGUAAGGCUAAAUACUACUGUGUGACCGAUAGUGAACCAGUGCCGCGUGGGAAAGGUGAAAAGAACCCCGCAAGGGGAGUGAAAUAGAACAUGAAACCGUAAGCUUACAAGCAGUGGGAGGACGAUUCAACGUCUGACCGCGUGCCUGUUGAAGAAUGAGCCGGCGACUUAAUAGCAGUGGCAGGUUAAAGCAUUUUGUGCUGAAGCCAAAGCGAAAGCGAGUCUGAAAAGGGCGCAAUUAAUUUUAGUCACUGUUAUUAGACCCGAACCCGGGUGAUCUAACCAUGUCCAGGAUGAAGCUUGGGUAACACCAAGUGGAGGUCCGCACCGACCGAUGUUGAAAAAUCGGCGGAUGAGGUGUGGUUAGGGGUGAAAUGCCAAUCGAACCCCGGAGCUAGCUGGGUUCUCCCCCGAAAUGUGUUGAGGCGCAGCGGUUGUGAAUAUAGUCUGGGGGUAAAGCACUGUUUCGGUGCGGGGCUGCGGUAAGCGGUACCAAAUCGAGACAAACUCUGAAUACCAGGCGCACACACAACUAGUGAGACGGUGGGGGAUAAGCUUCAUCGUCAAGAGGGAAACAGCCCAGACCACCAGCUAAGGUCCCCAAAUUGGUACUAAGUGGCUAAGGAGGUGGGAGUGCAAAGACAACCAGGAGGUUUGCCUAGAAGCAGCCAUCCUUGAAAGAGUGCGUAAUAGCUCACUGGUCAAGCGCUCCUGCGCCGAAAAUGAAUGGGACUAAGUGCUAUACCGAAGCUGUGGGAUAUGAAAAUAUCGGUAGGGGAGCGUUCUGUAGUAGGAAGAAGCACUAGCGGCAAGCAGGUGAUGGACGAAGCUAGAAGUGAGAAUGUCGGCUUGAGUAGCGAAAACAUUGGUGAGAAUCCAAUGCCCCGAAACCCCAAGGGUUCCUCCGGCAGGCUCGUCCGCGGAGGGUUAGUCAGGACCUAAGGCGAGGCCAAACGGCGUAGUCGAUGGACAACGGGUCAACAAUCCCGUACUGAUUAUCAGUUGUGCAGAGGGACGGAGAAGGCAAAUGCCAGCCGGAUGUUGGUUACCGGUUCAACCGUCAAGGCGAUGAGAAGCGGCGAAAACGCUUCGAGCGAAGGCGGGAGUACGAGACCCUACGGGGUCGAAGCGGCAUAGUCUAGCUUCCAAGAAAAGCUCUAAACACGUUAACUGAUAGUUACCUGUACCCGAAACCGACACAGGUGGGGAGGUUGAGAAAACGGGCAGGGAGGCGCGAGAUAACUCUCUCUAAGGAACUCGGCAAAAUGGCCCCGUAACUUCGGAAGAAGGGGUGCCAGCGAGAGCUGGUCGCAGUGAAGAGAUCCAGGCGACUGUUUACCAAAAACACAGGUCUCCGCAAAGUCAAAUGACGACGUAUGGGGGCUGACGCCUGCCCAGUGCCGGAAGGUUAAAGAAGUCGGUCAGGGCCUUGUGCCUAAAGCUGGCGACUGAAGCCCCGUUGCUCGGCGGCCGUAACUAUAACGGUCCUAAGGUAGCGAAAUUCCUUGUCGGGUAAGUUCCGACCCGCACGAAAGGCGUAACGAUCUGGAUGGUGUCUCAGAGAGAGACUCGGCGAAAUAGGAAUGUCUGUGAAGAUACGGACUACCUGCACCAGGACAGAAAGACCCUAUGAAGCUUUACUGUAGCCUGGAAUGGAGUUCAGGCUUUGCUUGCGCAGGAUAGGUGGGAGGCGAUGAAGCUACCCUUGUGGGGGUAGUGGAGCCAAUGGUGAGAUACCACUCUGGCGAAGCUAGAAUUCUAACCGCUUGCCGUCAGCCGGCAGUGGAACAGUUUCAGGUGGGCAGUUUGACUGGGGCGGUCGCCUCCUAAAGUGUAACGGAGGCGCGCAAAGGUUCCCUCAGGCUGGUUGGAAAUCAGCCGCAGAGUGUAAAAGCACAAGGGAGCUUGACUGCAAGAGUUACAACUCGAGCAGGGACGAAAGUCGGCUUUAGUGAUCCGACGGUUCCGAGUGGAAGGGCCGUCGCUCAACGGAU
rnacentral:sRNA from 1 species